rnacentral:tRNA from 1 species
AAGCUCUGAGGUGAUAUUUCAUAUUGAAUUGCAAAUUCAAAGAAGCAGCUUCAACUCUGCCGGGGCUU